rnacentral:rRNA from 1 species
GACGAACGCUGGCGGCGUGCCUAAUACAUGCAAGUAGAACGAAGUUGCGAACGGGUGAGUAACGAGUAGGUAACUACCUGGUAGCGGGGGAGAACUAUUGGAAACGAUAGCUACUAACGCAGACUACCAGAUGGACAUGCGUUUGAUUAGCUAGUUGGGUGGGUAACGGCUCACCAAGGCAACGAUACAUAGCCGUCCGGAGAGGGAGAACGGCCACACUGGGACUUAGAAACGGGCCAGACUCCGACGGGAGGCAGCAGUAGGGAAUCUUUGGAAAUGGACGGAAGGCUGACCGAACAACGGCGGGUGAGUGAAGAAGGUUCUCGGAUCGUAAAGCUCUGUUGUAAGAGGAGCGGUAUCUGACCAGAAAGCGACGGCUAACUACGUGCCAGCCGCCGCGGUAAUUC